CUCCUCCUCUGGCGCCCGCCGCGGCCGGUAAGUCCCUGCUGGAGGAGCUGCGGUGGUCCCCGAGUCAACUUUCAAUCCCCCUUUUGCUUCCUGCCUCGCCAUUCUCUUCUCCUCCUGGAAAGAUGGCUGUUUGGAGAAGGGGGAGAAGUUAGGGGGUCGCCAGCGCGGGGCGAAGGAGGGCGCGACAGCCUCGGCAGGAGCGGGCGGAGGUUUCUCCUCUGGCUCUUGGACUGCCUCUACCAGAGAAGGAAAGCCUGUGAAUCUGCAUCCUAGCCUAUCAGCCCUUCUGUAUCCCAUGAUGAGCUCACCAGUGCAGCCCGGUCAGUCUUUUUGCUUUUUCAACUGGUACAGGCUUCAUGUGAGAGAUAUUGCUUUGUGUUGCUUCAAACCAAGCAAUUUAAGUCAUGAAGGAACAUUUUCUUUCUGAUGAAGAUUAGUUCAUAAUAAAUCUUGAACUUUGCAUUGUAUAGUUAAUCCUCUAUUAACCCAGUUUGCUUUCUGGGCAACUUUUUUUCACUUGUAUUGUUCUCUGAGAACUGGGCUUUAUUCUUUUGCUUCUAAUGUAACAUUCAGAUUGAAUCUCAUGAAGUUAUGAAUAUUAAAUAUGAUACUGGAAUCUAAUUUGUACCCAUAGUCUCUUUGACCUAUUAUGUGUCAGUUUGUUUUU
rnacentral:lncRNA from 1 species